GAUUUUCUUUUUAUUUUUUUGAGACAGAGUCUCACUCUGUCUUCCAGGCUGGAGUGCAGUGGUGCUAUCUCCGCUCACUGCAACCUGCACCUCCCAGUUGCAAGUGAUUCUCCAUCUCAGCCUCCCGAGUAGUUGGGAUUACAGGCACCCGCUACCACACCCGGCUAAUUUUUGUAGUUUUAGCAGAGAUGGGGUUUCACCAUGUUGGUCAGUUAUUCUUGAACUCCUGACCUCAAGCAAUCCACCUGCCUUGGCCUCCCAAAGUGCUGGGAUUACAGGCAUGAGCCAUCGUGCCCGGCCAUGAUUUUCUUAAUAACAUUUUUUUGCUUACUUUACUCUAAGGAUGUGAUAUAUAAUACACAUAACAUAUACAAUAUGUGUUAACCAUUUAUGUUAGCAGUAAGGCUUCUGGCCAACAGUAGGCUAUUAGUAAAAGUUUUGAGUGAAUCAAAAGUCAAAAAAGUAGCUGGGUGUAGUGGCAUGGUACAGGUGCUAGACUACCAUGCUCAACUACUUGGAAGACUGUGGCAGGAGGAUUGCUUGAGCCCAGGAGUUCGAGACCAGCCUGGGCAACAUAGCAAGACUUUUUUUUUUUUUUUUUUUUUUUUGCGACAGAGUUUUGCACUUGUUGCCCAGGCUGGAGUGCAAUGGCGUGAUCUCCGCUCACUGCAACCUCCACUCCCGCGUUCAAGCGAUUCUCCUGUCUCAGCCUCCCAAAUAGCUGGGAUUAUAGGCAUGCACCAACACGCUCAGCUUUUUGUAUUUUUAGUAGAGACAGGGUUUCACAAUGUUGGCCAGAAUGGUCUCGAUCUCUUGACCUUGUGAUCCACCUGCCUUGGCCUCCCAAAGUGUGGUGUUUUCUGGACAAAGCAAAGACACUACAUUUUUUGUCCAGAAGUAGGUAAAGGUUAUAUUAAGUGAUGAUAUCUGAUUACUCAAGUGAAGAUUAUUUGACCAUGCUUUGGAAGCCUGAUAUGAUUUGGCUCUGUCCCCACCCAAAUCCCAUUUUGAAUCGUAAUCCCCACAUGUUGGAGGAGGGGCCUGGUGGGAGGUGAUUGGAUCAUGGGAACAGAUUUCCUCCUUGCUGUUCUCAUGAUAGUGAGUAGUUCUCAAGAGAUCUGUUGGUUUUAAAGUGUUGCACUUCUCCCCUCGCUCUCCCUCUCUCUCCUGCUCCACCACGAUAAGAUGUGCCUGGCUUCCCCUUUGCUUUCUGCCCUGAUUGUAAGUUUCCUGAGGCUUCCCAAUCAUGCUUCCUGUUAAGCCCGUGGAUCUAUGAUUCAGUUAAACCUCUUUUCUUCGUAAAUUACCCAGUCUCAUGUAGUUCUUUAUAGCAAUGUGAAGACAGAAUAACACAAGACCUAUUUUUAAACAUUCAAGUUUCACAACCAUAGAAAGUUUGUACACCUCAAUUUUAGGUCCUGAUGUCUUCAUAUGAAGUUAUAGAUCUUUAUAUCCUAGUUUGCUUUCUGAAAAUAUAGCUAGAGUAUCAGAACAUAGGAAAUGGUACUUUUUUUUAACAUUUUAUUUUACAAACAUUUAUUUGCUUUCCUUAAAAGCAGGGACUGUCAGCCUAUCUUAUUUAUUUUUGUAUUCCUAGUGUUACAGGUUGGAGUCUCAAGCGCUGAGAUAGAAAUAAGAAUGCAAAAGGUUUCCUGGGAGUGGUGUUGCAUCAAAGUGGAAGCAGGAAAACAGUGUUGGGCAGGGAUUCAAGAGGUGGAGAAACAGGCUUCGCCCCAGUGGAAGGAGGUGCAAAGUCAUGUUGCAGGGGGCUUCGGUACAGGACAGGUGGGAGGAUUAGGCCCAUUUUGCAAUCAAUCAAUCAUGAACCUUGUCUUGGUUGCUGUGACUCCAGAUUCCUGAAGGAUCUGCUGAAUUAACUGUUCUAGUUCUGAUGAUGCCUCCUGGCAUUAAUGAUUCUUCUCCUAUUACCUGGUAACAUGGUAAAUAUUGUCAUUUGAUAACUGUAUCAUUCUUAAUUCUUUGUGACUUAACUGACACCCUUGAGAGAAUUCAUUCUUUAGCCAAAGCAAGCCUGACUAUUAUUAAGAAUCAUCAAUAAUAGCUUUGUCCAUAAAACUAGAACUACCAUAUGACCCAGCAAUCCCACUACUAGGUGUGAACCCAAAGGAAAGUAAAUCAGUAUGUCAAAGAGCUCUCUGCCCUCCCAUGUGCAUUGCAGCACUAUUCACAACAGCCAAGAUAUGCAAUCAACCUAGGUUUCCAUCAACAGAUGAAUGAAUUAAAAAUGUGGUGUAUAUACACAAGAGAAUACUUUUUAGCAUAAAAAAGAAGGAAAUCCUGUCAUAUGAGGCUGCAUGGAUGAGCCUAGAGGACAUUAUAUUAAGUGAAAUAAGGCCCAGAAAGACAAACUUCAAAAGGUUCUCACUCAUUUGUGGGCGCUAAAAAUUAAAACAGUUGUAUUCAUGGAGGUAGAGAGUAGAAGAAUGGUUUCUAGAGGCUGGGAAGGGUAGUGGAGGUAGUGAGAGGAAGUGGGGAAGAAUACUGCAUGCUCUCGUUCAUAUGUGGAAGCUGAAAACGCUGAUCUCACAGAAGUAGAGAGUUGAGUAGUGGUUGCCAGAGGUUGGGAAGGGUAACGGGAAGGGGUGGAUAGCCAGAGGUUGGUUACCCGAUACAAAAGUACAGCUAGACAGGAGGAAUAAGUUCUGGUGUUCUAUAACACUGUAGGGUGGUUAUAGCCAACAAUAAUUUUUUGUUUAUUUUCAAAUAGCUAGAAGAGGGCAUCUUGAAUGUUCCCAACACAAAGAAAUGAAAAUUGUUUGAGGUGAUGACAUGCUCAUUACCUUUAUUUGAUCAUGACACAUUGUAAACAUGCAUCAAAACAUCCCACUGUAUCCCAUAAAUAUGUGCAGUUAUUAUGUCAAUUUAAUCGAAGAAUAGCUUUGUUUUUGUCUAAGAGCUAUUGAACACUACUGAUUCGUGUGCCCUUGACCACCUGUAAAAUGGUGUUGCUAAUACCUCAUGUUGUAUCAGAAAGAGUUGUGACACUGAUAGAAAAACGACUGUGAAAUUGAGUUUUGACAAGUAUGAAGUACUAUUUGAAUGCAUUGUACAGUAUUUUCACGUGUUAGAUUGAGGCAACUGUAGGUCCUAACCUUGAACCUGCCCUGGCAAACAUUUGCUCAGUUUAUGCUGUGUAUCCCCGCUAGCACGGAGAGGAUAAGGCCCCUCUCUCACAUGGCAAUAGCAGUUUUAGGGCCACAAAACAGGCAGAUCAUACGUGAGGCCUGCUGGCUUUGACAAAGUUCCUUCAGUGCUGUGCUAUGUAAACAGAUCAGCAGGCACAAAAGCCAGGAGUCCUGGGACCAUGCCGGUAAACAGAUUUUCUAAGUCUAGAGCUGCAGAUGGUGGUGUCUUAUCCCUGUUGGUGAACCUGGCAGGAUUCCAACCCCCAGCUCAAUAAUACUGUAAAUCCCUACUGGAUACUGCAUGUAAAUUAUAAUUACUUGUAAACUGUGUUUACUGGCUCAGUAUGCCAUAUUUAUAUGGACUCUAGGGCUUAAUUUUUUUUUCUCUUGAUAAGUGUGACAAAAGCAGUACUUGAACAGAAGAGAGCUGUGUGUUCCAUGUGAGAACUUUAGUUUAGAUUCCAUAAUGUUUUUGUUGCAUCGAUGUGGUAGCAACUGAAGACGGGGCCUGGUAGUCGAUGGGUUUUAUUUUGCCCACCUCUCU
rnacentral:lncRNA from 1 species